rnacentral:rRNA from 1 species
GACGAACGCUGGCGGCGUGCUUAACACAUGCAAGUCGAACGGAAAGGCCCUGCUUUUGUGGGGUGCUCGAGUGGCGAACGGGUGAGUAACACGUGAGUAACCUGCCCUUGACUUUGGGAUAACUUCAGGAAACUGGGGCUAAUACCGGAUAGGAGCUCCUGCUGCAUGGUGGGGGUUGGAAAGUUUCGGCGGUUGGGGAUGGACUCGCGGCUUAUCAGCUUGUUGGUGGGGUAGUGGCUUACCAAGGCUUUGACGGGUAGCCGGCCUGAGAGGGUGACCGGGCACCAUGGGGCUGGAGAUAGGGCCAGGCUGCUACGGGAGGCAGGAGGGGGGAAAUUUGCACAAUGGGGGGGAGGCUGGUGGCGGAACGGCGGGGGGGGGAAGGCGGGCUUUGGGGUGGGAACCGGUUUCGCCUGUGAAGGAGGGGGGAGGGAGGGUAAGGGUAAAGAAGGCCCGGGUAAAUUCGGG